AGCGAACGUUUGCGGCGGGCCUAACACAUGCAAGUCGAACGCACUAGCAAUAGUGAGUGGCGCACGGGUGCGUAACACGUGGGUAAUCAACCCUUCAGCUUGGGAUAACGACUUGAAAGGGUCGCUAAUACCGGAUACGGCGAGAGAGGCUUCGGCAUUUCUCGAGAAAGCCUCGCAAGGGGCACUGAAGGACGAGCCUGCGGCCCAUCAGCUAGUUGGUGAGGUAAGAGCUCACCAAGGCGAAGACGGGUAGCUGGUCUGAGAGGAUGAUCAGCCACACUGGAACUGAGACACGGUCCAGACUCCUACGGGAGGCAGCAGUGGGGAAUAUUGCGCAAUGGGCGAAAGCCUGACGCAGCCACGCCGCGUGAGCGAUGAAGGCCUUCGGGUCGUAAAGCUCUGUGGGGAGAGACGAAGAAAGCCCGUGAAGAGCGGGCCGUUGACGGUAGUCUCCUUAGCAAGCACCGGCUAACUCCGUGCCAGCAGCCGCGGU
rnacentral:rRNA from 1 species